CCUACGGGAGGCAGCAGUGGGGAAUAUUGCACAAUGGGGGAAACCCUGACGCAGCGACGCCGCGUGAGUGAAGAAGUAUUUCGGUACGUAAAGCUCUAUCAGCAGGGAAGAAAAUGACGGUACCUGACUAAGAAGCCCCGGCUAAAUACGUGCCAGCAGCCGCGGUAAUACGUAGGGGGCAAGCGUUAUCCGGAUUUACUGGGUGUAAAGGGAGCGUAGACGGCAGCGCAAGUCUGGAGUGAAAUCCCAUGGCUUAACCAUGGAACUGCUUUGGAAACUGUGCAGCUAGAGUGCAGGAGAGGUAAGCGGAAUUCCUAGUGUAGCGGUGAAAUGCGUAGAUAUUAGGAGGAACACCAGUGGCGAAGGCGGCUUACUGGACUGUAACUGACGUUGAGGCUCGAAAGCGUGGGGAGCAAACAGGAUUAGAUACCCGAGUAGUC
rnacentral:rRNA from 1 species